rnacentral:rRNA from 1 species
CGUGUAGGUGGAUCUUUAAGUCGUGUGUCUAAGUGCGGGGCUCAACCCCGUAUAGGCGCAGGAAACUGGGGAUCUUGAGUGCAGGAGAGGAAAGUGGAAUUCCCAGUGUAGCGGUGAAAUGCGUAGAUAUUGGGAGGAACACCAGUGGCGAAGGCGACUUUCUGGACUGUGUCUGACACUGAGGCGCGAAAGCUAGGGGAGCGAACG